AUUGAACGCUGGCGGCAGGCCUAACACAUGCAAGUCGAGUGGAGCGGCGGACGCGUGAGCAAUGCCUAGGAAUCUGCCAGGUAGUGGGGGAUAACGAUCGGUAACGGGAGCUAAUACCGCAUACUAUCAGAUCAGCCUAGGUCGGACUAGCUAGUCGGUUGGGUAAAGGCCAGCCGAGGCGACGAUACGUAACUGGUCUGAGAGGAUGAACAGUCACACUGGAACGGAGACACGGUCCAGACUCCUACGGGAGGCAGCAGGAGGGAAUAUUGGACGAUGGGCGUAAGCCUGAUCCAGCCAUGCGGCGUGUGUGAAGAAGGUCUUCUGAUUGUAAAGCACGUUAAGUUGGGUGGCGUAACCGGCAGAAUAAGCAGCGGCUAACUUCGUGCCAGCAGCCGCGGUAAUAC
rnacentral:rRNA from 1 species